CCUACGGGUGGCAGCAGUGGGGAAUAUUGGGCAAUGGGCGCAAGCCUGACCCAGCAACGCCGCGUGAAGGAAGAAGGCUUUCGGGUUGUAAACUUCUUUUCUCAGGGACGAAGAAAGUGACGGUACCUGAGGAAUAAGCCACGGCUAACUACGUGCCAGCAGCCGCUGUAAUACGUAGGGGGCAAGCGUUAUCCGGAUUUACUGGGUGUCAAGGGGGCGCAGACGGCGAUGCAAGCCAGGAGUGAAAGCCCGGGGCCCAACCCCGGGACUGCUCUUGGAACUGCGUGGCUGGAGUGCAGGAGGGGCAGGCGGAAUUCCUGGUGUAGCGGUGAAAUGCGUAGAUAUUAGGAGGAACCCCAGUGGCGAAGGCGGCCUGCUGGGCUUUUACUGACGCUGAGGCUCGAAAGUGUGGGGAGCAAACAGGAUUAGAUACCCCUGUAGUC
rnacentral:rRNA from 1 species